CGCGGGGUGGAGCAGCCUGGUAGCUCGUCGGGCUCAUAACCCGAAGGUCGUCGGUUCAAAUCCGGCCCCCGCA
rnacentral:tRNA from 56 species